rnacentral:rRNA from 1 species
CAGUUCGGAUUGAAGGCUGAAAUUACGCCUUCCAUGAAGCCGGAAUUGCUAGUAAUGGCAGGUCAGCAUACUGCCGUGAAUACGUUCCCGGGCCUUGUACACACCGCCCGUCACACCAUGAGAGUUGGAGAUACCCGAAGCCUGUGAGCUAACAAACGAGGCAGCAGUCGAAGGUAGAAUCAAUGAUUGGGGUGAAGUCGUAACAAGGUAGC